rnacentral:rRNA from 1 species
CACGUAGGGCGCAAGCGUUGUCCGGAAUUAUUGGGCGUAAAGGGUGCGUAGGCGGUGCGGUAAGUCUGUUGUGAAAUCUCCGGGCUCAACUCGGAGUCUGCAUCAGAAACUGCCGUGCUGGAGUGUGGGAGAGGUGAGUGGAAUUCCCGGUGUAGCGGUGAAAUGCGUAGAGAUCGGGAGGAACACCUGCGGCGAAAGCGGCUCACUGGACCAUAACGUGACGCUGAUGCACGAAAGCUAGGGGGAGCAAACAGG